AUUGGAAUGAUUUCAAGUGAUGGAGAGGAAGGGAUGGAUCUUUUUAAAAAGAAACGAAAGAAGACUUCAAGGUUUUCCAAAUCAUUUUUGGACCCAGAUGUUAAGCCAAAAGAAUACGUGAAUAAGGGUAUUAUGUCCCAGAGGGACUCAGUGGAAGCAAUGCUCCAGGUCCAGUCUGCUGUUGGGCAGCCUGCGAUGCAACUCCUCCAUCAAGUACUCAGAUGCAUCUUGCAAGAGCCUGUCUGAACAUCUGCUUGUCCAGGAGGAUUGGUGUUUGUUAUGGGGACCAGGAAUUAGUGUCAGAAUAGCUUUAUCUACAAAGAUAUGUAUGUUGUUACUUUAUUUUUGGUUUUAAUAUGAAACAUUGGUAUGACUUUGAGCUUCCAUCUAUUCACAGAAUGACACAAGUAAACUAUGAAUUAGAUUUUUUUAAAAAAAGGUUCAAGUUGUAAAAUUACAUGCCUGUAAUUUUUUAAUUAAGUUGAUGGGUAGUUCAAAGUAAAUUUUUUAUCAAAAUGUAUAUAUGUCACCAUAUACUAUUCUGACAGUAAUUUUUUGUGGGCAUUCAUAAUAAGUACAAAAACAAAAAAGUGAAG